rnacentral:rRNA from 1 species
GAUCCUGGCUCAGGAUGAACGCUGGCGACAGGCUUAACACAUGCAAGUCGAGGGGCAGCGGGGAGUAGCAAUACUCUGCCGGCGACCGGCGCACGGGUGAGUAACGCGUAUGCAACUUGCCUAUCAGAGGAGAAUAGCUCAUCGAAAGAUGAAUUAAUGCUCCAUGAAACAGGGGUCCCGCAUGGGAAUAUUUGUUAAAGAUUCAUCGCUGAUAGAUAGGCA